rnacentral:rRNA from 1 species
UGCAGUCGAACGAUGAGCCUAGCUUGCUGGGUGGAUUAGUGGCGAACGGGUGAGUAACACGUGAGCAACCUGCCCCUGACUUUGGGAUAACUGCUGGAAACGGUAGCUAAUACUGGAUAUGACUGAUCAUCGCAUGGUGGUUGGUGGAAAGUUUUUCGGUUGGGGAUGGGCUCGCGGCCUAUCAGCUUGUUGGUGGGGUAAUGGCCUACCAAGGCGAUGACGGGUAGCCGGCCUGAGAGGGCGACCGGCCACACUGGGACUGAGACACGGCCCAGACUCCUACGGGAGGCAGCAGUGGGGAAUAUUGCACAAUGGGCGAAAGCCUGAUGCAGCGACGCCGCGUGAGGGAUGACGGCCUUCGGGUUGUAAACCUCUUUCAGUAGGGAAGAAGCGUAAGUGACGGUACCUGCAGAAGAAGCGCCGGCUAACUACGUGCCAGCAGCCGCGGUAAUACGUAGGGCGCAAGCGUUGUCCGGAAUUAUUGGGCGUAAAGAGCUUGUAGGCGGUUUGUCACGUCUGGUGUGAAAACCCACCGCUCAACGGUGGGCUUGCAUCGGGUACGGGCAGGCUAGAGUAUGGUAGGGGAAACUGGAAUUCCUGGUGUAGCGGUGAAAUGCGCAGAUAUCA